rnacentral:lncRNA from 1 species
GGGACCGAGACGCGGGGAUCCAGAAAGCAGGGGAGGCGCGCUAGUGGCCGGGGGCGGAGAGCUUGGGUGGGAGUGAAGGUUGCACACAGGCGCGCGCCCGCGCGCGGGCACACACACACACACACACACGCACGCACGCCCGAGAAAGGGCUGAAUGAUCUGAGUGACUGAAGCUGGCUCCGCACCCCCGCACUUCCGGGGGACAGAGCGAUGCGGGUUAAAAGGGUUGUGUGCGCCCUGGGUGUGGGAGCACGUAAGUGCGUUGAAGUUGAGCGGGUUUGAGAGUAGCCCUCCAAGAUGAGUAUGCUUGGAAGUUUAGUUUCGGAGAAGGAUCUGCGCCGCAGUGUGCUGUACCUGGAAACCAGAGAUUUGCGGUGUUCGGAACCGACUCAUCAGGGUCCCCGGCACAACACUUUAUUCUCUGGACGUGCCGGGGGAGGGGUGUUCGCUUUGCCUCCGAGGGACCCCUCCUCUAGGUGUGAAAGAUGCUAGCCCAGCGCCCAUGGGGUGUCGAAAGCAACAUAUAAAGGUUCGAAACUCAGGAAACCUCGGCGAUCGCCUGCGCUAGCACAUACACACGGUCCCGCGCACACUCAGUCUGCGCCCGCCCUUCCUCCCUCCCUGAUUUGCUUCUGGGAAAACAAGCCUUGAGAGCUGCGGACUCGCCCCAAGUCACGGUGCUUAAGCAGGAGUCCCUGGUAGAAACAGGCUGAAAACUCCCCUCCCCGCUCACUGGUGGAGUCAUAUCCUGUGCGGCCUCUAGGAAGCGCUAGACACAUCUCCAAAUACGCCCUGGUUCAUAACACCUAAGCCUUAUUGUCCUAUUGAGCGUGUAAGCUUCUUGAGAGGAGGAAAUAGCUCGCACCAGAUGGUUAUUUGCCACUUGAACUGGAGAGGAGGAGAGAUUGCAUCUACAACCGCCUUGAAUGUGCCUGAUCUUGUCUGAUCUCAGAAGCUAAGCAGGUGGUUCCCCAGACCCUGUUCAACUGUCCCGCAGGCCGGGACAGAAGCCAGCUAAGGUUGCUUGAUAGAAGGCUGAGAAAGAAUGAGGCUGCUGAGUGAAGCCAGAGGGAGAAUACGCUCAAAGACAAGCAGUGUCACUGAAUGGAGACAGUUGGAUUUUUAGGACAUUGCUGCAUGGGCACUGGGCCCUUCCAUAUCUGGAAGACUCAGAACUCCACACACGACAUUUAUGGGACCCCCUCUGCCACAGCCACUGUGGUCUAUGGCAGUAAAUCCACUGAGCUAUUAGAUAUUUUUGUUGGUAGUGGUGUUGGUGGUUUAUUUGUUGUGUUUAUUAUAUCUGAGCCAAUCAAAGAAAUGUAAUAAACAAUAAUUUCUUAA